GACGAACGCUGGCGGCGUGCUUAAUACAUGCAAGUCGAGCGAGAACCUGCCCGUGGCAACACGGGUUAGGGGACAGCGGCGAACGGGUGAGUAUCACGUGACCAACCUGCCCCAAACACUGGGAUAAGCCCGGGAAACUGGGUCUAAUACCGGAUACCCUCUCUGCACCGCAUGGUGCGCUGAGGAAAGGUCCGCCGGUUUGGGAUGGGGUCGCGGCCUAUCAGCUUGUUGGUGAGGUAAUGGCUCACCAAGGCAACGACGGGUAGCUGGCCUGAGAGGACGAUCAGCCACACUGGGACUGAGACACGGCCCAGACUCCUACGGGAGGCAGCAGUGGGGAAUAUUGGACAAUGGGGGCAACCCUGAUCCAGCCAUGCCGCGUGUGUGAAGAAGGCCCUAGGGUUGUAAAGCACUUUCAAUUGGGAAGAAAAGCUGUUGGCUAAUACCCAACAGCCCUGACAUUACCUUUAGAAGAAGCACCGGCUAACUCCGUG
rnacentral:rRNA from 1 species